AACCCGCGUAUCCAGUCAGGGAGUGACCAGCGUGGCCGCGCCGUGAGCUCUGAGCAAGGGGCCUUUGGCCCGACGGUGAAAGGCGCCCGUCGCUGGCUCCUGAGGCCCAAACAUCAGAAAGCAGCCAGGACCCCGCGCCCGGCCUGCAGCGCGACGUGACACCCCGCCCACCCUCGGUGCGUCACGUUCAGGCGCGCGCUCGCGACUGACGUGCGCAGGCGUCUAAGACGCCGCGCAACCGCCAUUGCAUCCCUGUUGAGGAGUGGAGUAGCCGGUUAGUAGACGUCCACGGGCACGGAAGAGUACCCAUCCCAGAGCCAUGGUCCAUGCCUUUCUCAUCCACACCUUGCGGGCCCCGAAGGCUGAGGAGGGCCUUUGCCGAGUGCUCUACUCCUGCUUCUUUGGUGCGGAGAAUUCACCCGACGACCCAAGGCCACGUGGUCCUGAGAGGGACAGGCUCCUCCGAAAGGAGCAGAUUUUGGCCACGGCCAGGCAGGUGGAGUCUAUGUGGCAGCUGCAGCAGCAGGCGUGUGGCCGGCCUGGCAUGGACCUGCAGUCCCAGUCUUCAGAUGAGCCAGUGCCCCUGCAGGAGGCCCCAUGUGGGGCCUUCCGCCUGGCCGCAGGGGACCCUUUCCAGGAGCCUCGGACAGUAGUAUGGCUAGCUGUGCUCUCAUUAGGCUUCACCCUGGUGCUGGAUGCCCACGAGAACCUGCUGCUGGCCGAGGGCACACUCCGACUGCUGGCACGCCUUCUCCUUGACCACCUCCGGCUGCUGGUCCCUGGUGCCAACUUCCUGCUGCGGGCUGACCGCAUUGAGGGCAUCCUCACCCGCUUCCUGCCACAUGGUCAACUGCUCUUCCUCAAUGACCAGUUUGUCCAGGGUCUGGAGAAGGAAUUUAGUGCUGCCUGGCCCCGCUGACCCUUCACUGGGAUGGGACUUCCCAAGAGAGCAAGGAGGGAGGACGGGGGUGGACGGACACACAGCCAGGUCUUCCAACCCUGUGGAGCUGGUCUAUCCUUUAGUAUUCCAGUACCAGUUGCUUGAGCCCGCAUCCUGCCUGAAGUGGGAUAGUCGGUACUGCCCCAGCACAUCGUAUGUGUCUCCUGGGCAUCGCUUGUUCUCCUCAGCUUUUGCGGCAUUGUGACUUGGAUCUCAGGGCAUGUGACGACUCCUUUCUCUCUGCCCUGAUGUGCCUGCCCAGAUGCAGAAUACCUGCUCUUUCCCUUGAUGCCCCCAAAGAAUAGGGAAUUUGGGAAUAGCAGACUUUUACUAAAGUUUAGGGGGAUAGAGGAGAGUUAUCUUAUAGAACCACAGAGCAUAAGACUUGAGACUGAUUGUCAGACACUCGUGUUCCCUGAGUCUCUGAACCAUUCCCCCCAAGGAGGUCUUCUCCUAGUUCCCUUGGAGCCUUGGCCUCCCAUCAACUUUCAGGCUGCUCCCUUCUUUUUCAUUUUUUCACUAAAAAUUUUUUUUCUUUCUUCUUUUUAUUGUAAAAUAUGCAUAACAUAAAAUUGACCACUUUAACAAUUUUUAAGUGUACAAUUUAGUGGCAUUAACUACACUCACAGUAUUGUAUCUAUUUUCAGAAGGCUUUCAUCAUUUAAAACAGAAACUCUGUACCCAUUAAGCAGAAACUCCCUGUGCUCUCUUCUGUGCUCUCUGGUAUCCAGCACCCUCAUUUCUUUCCUGUUCCCACCGGGCAGUUAAGGGCUCCACCCCCCACCUAACUUGUUCCCAGGCCUACCUUUUCCCCCCCUUAACUGAUUGAACCCAGACCUCGUACAUACCAAGCACAUGCUCUACCACUGAGCUAUACCCCUCGACCCUCCCAGGCCUGCCUUUUGAUAGCAUAGCUGUGCCUACUUAAAAAAGGAGGGGGGGGAGAAGACUGUCUGGGGCUCCAUCUUCAGCAGUUCAAAGCGCAUUUUCAGUUCUGCUUUGAAAUCACAAAUUCUUAUGGGACAUAAUUAAAUCUCAGGCAAGACUUUCUUCCACACUGAUAUAUGUAAGCUGAAGAUGACCAUGGAAAGAUCUAUCCUUCCUAAGGUGAGUCAU